rnacentral:lncRNA from 1 species
AUACUAUUUAUGGGGAAGGCAGUUGCUGUUCUGCGUGACGUCACGGCCGGUGUGUCGUUUCUUUGACCCGAAUCUCUCCUCCCAGCAACAACGAGUCCAGCCCCCUUGGAAAAAAACAAACAAACACCGUUUUAUAUAUCGUUCAGAAUAACAUAGAAACGUGCUUUCACAACGACCAGAAACAACCAAAUCCAAAUCUAAGUGUAGCUAGUUUUACACUAUGCGGCAUAGUGAUCUGGGUCGCUCACAACAAACGGGCUGCUAGUUACCGUCAGCUAGCUUUGACGUUAGCACCGCUAGCUGGCUCUGUUCGGGAGGAGGUUACCGAGUGGCACAGGCAGCAGCUAGCGUUACCAUUGUCUGUUGUUGACUCGGUCUGCCAUCAGCAACCCCCUUUUGGACUGGGCAGAGGAGGCAUUUCAAGUGGUCUGAGCUGUGGCCUGGCUGCAGUACCAGAGGCCACCAGCGUGGGGCAGCAGAGCGAGGUGGGGCCAGGAGGCAGCAGUGAGUAGGCCGGGGCUGGAUCUAGCCUUGAGGGGCAUGCGUCAUGACCUCGGUGGUGCUCGUUGACAGUGGAGGGGCGGUGGUGGAGUAUAUGACCGCCGUGGAGGACCCUCAUCAGGUGAGUGGUGAGAGGGUUGGACUGAGUAACAAACACCUUUACUGAACUAACACUCACACUUGACUUUGCUGAUAACUACUUUAAUGAGGAAAAAUGUACCGACUGUGACUGAGAUGUGGUUGUCCCACCUAGCUAUCUGAAGAUGAAUUCACUAUGACUGAGAUGUGGUUGUUUCACCUAGCUAUCUGAUGAUGAAUUCACUAACUAUGACUGAGAUGUGGUUGUCCCACCUAGCUAUCUGAAGAUGAAUUCACUAUGACUGAGAUGUGGUUGUUUCACCUAGCUAUCUGAAGAUGAAUUCACUAUGACUGAGAGGUGGGUGUCCCACCUAGCUAUCUGAAGAUGAAUUUACUAUGACUGAGAUGUGGUUGUCCCACCUAGCUAUCUGAUGAUGAAUUCACUAUGACUGAGAUGUGGUUGUCCCACCUAGCUAUCUGAAGAUGAAUUCACUAACUAUGACUGAUAUGUGGUUGUCCCACCUAGCUAUCUGAAGAUGAAUUCACUAACUAUGACUGAGCUGUGGCUGUCCCACCUAGCUAUCUGAAGAUGAAUUCACUAUGACUGAGAUGUGGUUGUCCCACCUAGCUAUCUGAAGAUGAAUUCACUAUGACUGAGAUGUGGUUGUCCCACCUAGCUAUCUGAAGAUGAAUUCACUAUGACUGAGAUGUGGUUGUCCCACCUAGCUAUCUGAAGAUGAAUUCACUAUGACUGAGAUGUGGUUGUUUCACCUAGCUAUCUGAAGAUAAAUUCACUAUGACUGAGAUGUGGUUGUCCCACCUAGCUAUCUGAAGAUGAAUUCACUAUGACUGAGAGGUGGGUGUCCCACCUAGCUAUCUGAAGAUGAAUUCACUAUGACUGAGAUGUGGUUGUCCCACCUAGCUAUCUGAAGAUGAAUUCACUAUGACUGAGAGGUGGGUGUCCCACCUAGCUAUCUGAAGAUGAAUUCACUAUGACUGAGAUGUGGUUGUUUCACCUAGCUAUCUGAAGAUGAAUUCACUAUGACUGAGAUGUGGUUGUCCCACCUAGCUAUCUGAAGAUAAAUUCACUAUGACUGAGAUGUGGUUGUCCCACCUAGCUAUCUGAUGAUGAAUUCACUAUGACUGAGCUGUGGCUGUCCCACCUAGCUAUCUGAAGAUAAAUUCACUAUGACUGAGAUGUGGUUGUCCCACCUAGCUAUCUGAAGAUGAAUUCACUAUGACUGAGCUGUGGUUGUCCCACCUAGCUAUCUGAAGAUGAAUUCACUAACUAUGACUGAGAUGUGGUUGUCCCACCUAGCUAUCUGAAGAUAAAUUCACUAUGACUGAGAUGUGGUUGUCCCACCUAGCUAUCUGAAGAUGAAUUCACUAACUAUGACUGAGAGGUGGGUGUCCCACCUAGCUAUCUGAAGAUGAAUUCACUAUGACUGAGAUGUGGUUGUCCCACCUAGCUAUCUGAAGAUGAAUUCACUAACUAUGACUGAGAGGUGGGUGUCCCACCUAGCUAUCUGAAGAUGAAUUCACUAUGACUGAGAUGUGGUUGUUUCACCUAGCUAUCUGAAGAUGAAUUCACUGACUGAGAUGUGGUUGUUUCACCUAGCUAUCUGAAGAUGAAUUCACUAUGACUGAGCUGUGGUUGUCCCACCUAGCUAUCUGAAGAUGAAUUCACUAUGACUGAGAUGUGGUUGUCCCACCUAGCUAUCUGAAGAUGAAUUCACUAUGACUGAGAUGUGGUUGUCCCACCUAGCUAUCUGAAGAUGAAUUCACUAUGACUGAGAUGUGGUUGUCCCACCUAGCUAUCUGAAGAUGAAUUCACUAUGACUGAGAUGUGGUUGUCCCACCUAGCUAUCUGAAGAUGAAUUCACUAUGACUGAGAGGUGGGUGUUUCACCUAGCUAUCUGAAGAUGAAUUCACUAUGACUGAGCUGUGGUUGUCCCACCUAGCUAUCUGAAGAUGAAUUCACUAACUAUGACUGAGAUGUGGUUGUCCCACCUAGCUAUCUGAAGAUGAAUUCACUAACUAUGACUGAGCUGUGGUUG